rnacentral:snoRNA from 1 species
AAGAGGAUGUUUUCAGGGAUCAUUUCUCCAGUUCACUACUGGAGAAGUUUAUCUGAAUGUGUGGAGCACUGGAAAUGUGAGGAGGAGGCACUGCACUCCCUGCUGAGAGUGAAGCUGGCUCUUGGUGUUGCUUUGCUGAAAUGGCUAUUAUUCACUGAUGGGUGUUCUUCUCUUUCUUCAGGAGAAUAAGAGGGAGAAAGCGCAGUCUGAGUGGU